ensembl:lncRNA
UCAAUCAGCUGCAUAAGCUGCAUCAGUAUCCACAUUGCUGGGUGGUCUUUGCUUGAGUUACAAGGAGAGAAGACUAGCUGUGGCUCCCCGUCAUGUCCACGUCCUGAACUGUUUAGCAAGCUUUGCCUAUCCAAACAACUGCAACGAUUACUUACUCCUCUAUUUCCUUUGAAUUGCUCAAAAAGCUCUCUGUGUCAAGAUGCGUAGCUGGAUUUUCUAGAAUUGUUUUAUUUAUUUAUUUUUUUUGGUUGUCUUCUCUUUCUCUGGAGGUCCUCCGAAGCCCUGCGCUGCAGGAGACUCUGAGAAACCAGCAUCUUGUUUUCAUCCAGUUCUUACUAAAGGCAUAAGGAAGAGAUGAGGUAAUAUUCAGUGGGUUUUAAAAAAAAAAUUCUCUUCCUCUUAAGAGAAGCACCGGUGUUUGAAGCAUUUAUUCCGCAUCAUUGCUGCUUCACUUUGAUCUGUUUACAGAGGCUUAAAGGACCAGUUCACGCAAGCACACGCGAAUGUCGCUUAUGAUUACUCGCACCUAAAGCACUUUUUCACGCUGGACUGUUUUAAGUUCAGGACGGAUUAAAGGAUUCCGACCGGAGAAAGUAUUCGUGCAGGUCACUCAAGUGAACACAGAUAGCCAACAUUGAUACGUCAUACUUCAGACGUGCGUGUCAGCAUUACGCGACGGAUUCAACACUCAAUAACAACAACAACAUGGCGCAUAGGUGUGGCUUUUACCAAGUGUAGUUAUUGCACUACUGUAAGAAAUGAGAGCGCUGACUAUUGAGGAUAUUUUGGCUCGAGUAAUCUGUUAAAAUUAGAAUCCAUUCCCAGGUAAGAUUUAUGCAGUUUGAAGAAGGCUUAACUGUGCUGGUUCACAUGAGAUCUCUAGUUUCCAUGCACAGGCAGUUACGUUACCUUUUGUUUGGCUGAAACCUAUCUUUAAUGAGUCUCAGCCUGUGUAGUGUCAGAAACGUAUGUAGAGGAGUAACUGCAGAGAUAAGAAGUCAUUUGGAAACGUGCAAGAUGUAUAUUCUAGAGUUCCUGUAUUGACAGAGUGGAUGGUAAACAAAUUUGGGACAUAAGGUAUAUAAAAUCUCACUUAAUGGUGAUUGGAUGUAAUUGCACGUUGAGUUUGCCUGCUAUAUAACAUGACAUUUGGUAGACUGGAUGGAGACACUUGGGUACAGUACCUAAUGUCCUGCUGUGUGAAGCAUCAAAUUUCAGGCAUGCUGUUUUGCCAUUUGUCUGGCUCAUUAAGCGGGCAAGCUUGGGAUAAAACGGCUUUGAUCAGUGCAUCAUCGUGGCACCGGUCAUUUCAUUACCUUUCACUGAUGACCUUUUACAGGGUAAUAAUCCAGGGAAAUGGCACUUAUAUUGAUUUAGUUGUUUGUCCAGAAUAGGGAUGUCAUGAGAACCGAUACUUUGGUACCAACAUUCUUAAAACGUGACGGUACUUGUUUUUCUGCAUUUCCGUUGGUAAUACCGAGGUUGCGAUUCUUCCGGACCUGAUGGGGCAGCAAAUACGCGCGAGUGUUUUAGUUGGUCCACAAGUAGUAGUGGUGGUGGUGGUGGUGGUGAAGAAGAAGAAGAAGAAGAAGAAGAAAAAGAAGAACGCCUACAAGCACACGGGGAAAACUACAAAAGAUUAGCUUAGCUUAACAAGUUUAGCUCUGCCCCGACUCGUUGAGAGGGAAAGAGAGGAAAGCUAGUAUCGGUUUCCGGUGUGCAACCGAUGCUAUCGUUCAUUUCAAACAAAGUGAGGAAACACCUGGAAUUUGGUGAAGCACCUGAAAGACGGUCCUAUAUUAUAUUUGUUUGAGGCAGCUGCAUUGUGGCCGUGAAACCAGCUAACGUUUCGCUCCAUGUAAUUUUAGCGAUAGCCAGUUAUUUGUUAACGACGCUAAUGCAUUGCAGUGUUAUAAACUACCUCCGAAUGGGUCACCAUGCAUCGCCAUUCAGCCUGUGUCCUGUCGGCUAAAUGUAGCCUAAUGUCGCUAAUAAUUAUUCAAAUGUUCAUGCUUUUAAUAAAUCUAUUUGGUCUGCCACCAUAUCAGUGAAUUUAAACUAAUGCUUGCAUUUAGAGUAUAAGGGGUGUGUGUGUGUGUGUGUGUGUGUGUCAGUGCACGUCCACUCAUUAUCAGACAGUGUUUGAUAACUAAA